CUUCCUGGAGACCAAUCCCGAUCCAAAUCCUCCGUGGAUUCGGCUCGGAUCUUGCAGCUCUUGCCUCCCACCUCCAUAUAAAUACUCCCCACGUCCGGAUCGACUGAGUUUUGGCAAAAUCGUAGCCUCCUGUGCCCUAGGUCGAUUUCGCGAUCUCGCCGGAGUUCCACCGCUGUUGACCUCCGCCGUCGUCGCUUCCGUCGCCACCAUCGGGAUUCACCGAACCGAGUGCUACAACCUCGACCAGAAGCAGAGCACCGCCGCCGUCGCUCCAGUCGCCCAUCGACGCCACCACAGGGCGUGAUCCUCCCAGAAGAGGCCCCCUUUGUCUUCACAGGAGAGUUCCGCGACCGCCCGUCCUUUCCUCCACCACCAGAGCAGGCGCCACCAUCGCCGCCCCGCGCCGUUCUUCCUCAAGUCCGACGGCCAGCCUCUGUUCUUCUCCGAUUGUCCGGACUGCGAAGCGGAUCAGAAUUAAUUGUUAGAGUACUUCAACACCGUUCAAGGCAAGUUUGCACAUUUGAUUUUGCUCAUCCUAUAUUCUGCUAUGCAUGUGUGGUUUUUAUGCUAUGAUAUAUGUUUGGUUGAUCAUUAUAUUUCGUGCUGUCAUGUUUUGGUACUGAUUGUGUUAUGUGAUGGUGUGAUCAACUUGCUAUAAUAGACGUGGGCAUGUGUCGAGUGAUCCAUGAAAGUGGUGAGUGUUUAUAGCCGUAGGCUCGGGAUUAUUAACCAGGUGAAUGCGUCACUGGCAGAGCGCUCUAUUGUCCCUAGAGAAUGCGUCAUUGACAGAGCGCAGUUGAGGCGAGCUUUAGUUUCGGAACUUAAAUCAGGUGAAUGCGUCCUUGCCAGAGUGCUCUAUUGUUCUUAGAGAAUGCACCACUGACAGAGCGCACUUGAGAUACUUCUGAAGUUCUUGUCAUGUUUACUUAGAAUCUUUGGGGUUAUCUUGGGCGAAUGAAUUAGGGGCG